UACGAGAGGUCCAAACGUUAUUCGGAAUCACUGGGCUUACAGAGUUCGUAGGCGGUCCAGAAAGUGGGGUGUGAAAGCCCUCGGCUCAACCGAGGAACUGCGCUCCAAACUACUGGGCUAGAGGAAGAUAGAGGUGAGCAGAACUGAUGGUGGAGCGGUGAAAUGCGUUGAUAUCAUCAGGAAUACCGGAGGCGAAGGCGGCUCACUGGGUCUUUUCUGACGCUGAGGAACGAAAGCUAGGGGAGCAAACGGG
rnacentral:rRNA from 2 species